GAACACGGAAGUUAAGCUUUUCAGCGCCGAUGGUAGUAGGGGGCUUCCCCCUGUGAGAGUAGGUCGUCGCCGGGC
rnacentral:rRNA from 1 species